rnacentral:rRNA from 1 species
UUGACCUCGGAUCAGGUAGGAAUACCCGCUGAACUUAAGCAUAUCAAUAAGCGGAGGAUUA